rnacentral:lncRNA from 1 species
AAAAAGAUCAAAGAAUUUACCACUCAGAAGUGAGAAUCACAUAUUCAGUAGAGAAAUCUUGUUCCUAUAUAGAAAUGUGCAAGCUUCUAAAAAUGGUUUGGAAGGUAACUCAAACCAAGAUAUACACGCCCUACUCUAAUAGCACGCAAGCUUAUAAAAAAUGGUUUUGCGGGCACCUCAGACCAAGAUAUACACACUUUAUUCUACUAACUGAAAAUAUAAUAUAUGCCCUUAUAACCACAAUCUCAAGGAAAAAUAGAACUACAACAAAUUGUAACACAUCAGUAAUCAAGGUCUUCAAUCACACUGUGGAUUAUAGUAUUGAACAAUACGAAGAUAUUACAUGAGGACCGCAUGAAGUGUCAUUAGACAAUACAGCUAGACCAUCAUCGAUAAAGUCCUGCAAGUACAACAUCUACCACAUUGCCUACAGUGAAAACAAAGAAAAGACAACCCAUGAGUACUGGUGCAAGCAAGGCACUUAUAAUAGAGCAACAUCGAAGCAGUUCUAGUAACCAGGACAAGGCUAAAGCGUACAAGCGCUAUAUGGUUUUCUUGUCAUGAAGAAACAGAAAAGCUGCCAACGGUCAGUAAACCAAUGACCAUGAAUUCAGAUCACUUGUUAUAAAGGAAAUGAUGUGAUGCAUAAAAAAUGCAAAAUAAAAUAACAGGCACAUGGUAAGAACCGAUGACUAUGCAUUUAGAUCACCUGUUAAGCAUUGUGUGUCCUCUGUCCUAAAAGAAAGCCAAAACAGCAGGGCAGCCAAAAGACUAUAAGAAAGUGCACGGUAUUUUCUUUAUCCAUUUUCUACAAAAAUAUGAUAAAUUACAGUUUUGCUAAAGUACAUCUAGAUGUGCCAUAAGUAUUGCACAUCUAAGUCAUAUGUUAUUGAUCUUACAUUAAGAUUCGUGUGAAUAUUUUCUUUCUCUUUUAUCUUUUUCUCUUUAUGUUUGAUUCACUCAUUUAGAUGUGCAAUAACUAGGGCACAUCUAGAUGUGCCCUAAACACACCCAAUAAAUUAACCAUGAGAAGUACCUUCUGCCUUGUUAGUUUCAUAUCAUCAAAAAUAGGCACUGAAACGAAGGAAAUAAAUCUAUAGGUGAGCAAUAGGAGGGCUAAGCUGGGAAGUUUCUUGCAAAUGUUGAAUUAUCCAUAAGAUUGCAUCUCUCCUGUUCUAGUCAAAUAAUAUUUUGUAUAUAUCAAUCCUUUCAAAAGCCAGGUUUCCGGUCAACUCCUAUUGUGUCUCUUUGUAUAAAUCAUUGGUCUGUUGUAUUCUAGAUAAUUAUUAGUAUAAAAAAUUGUUUCAAACAUCACAAUUGAAAAAAAACAUAGCCACCAAAUGAAGGCCUUGCUAACCAAAUAAAGAUCACAAUUUGAAGUGAUGCCAUGGAUUUUUCUCUUAUAUGCCUUUCAAGUUUCUAUGUCUUAGCCUGCGUCGCUCUGACUAGGGCAACUCGGGCAGCGACCGAAAACCUAGCCGCCGCCACCCCGUCUCCCACCUCUCUCCCCCUCGCCGCCGCCGAAGGACGCCGCCGGGAGAAUCCCGCGCGGCCGACGGCGGCGGCGGGGCACUGCUCUCUGUGAUGGGCGCUUGGUGGGCGAGCAGCCUGGCCCCUGGCGCCGGCGGCGCCCACGACUGUGUUUCGGCCUCCUGGUCGUCCAUUUCGACUAGCCGGCGACGGAUCCAGCGGUGCCAGGUGCGGAUCCGGCUCUCCCUCGGCUCGCUGCACCCAUGCUCCCCUCGCCACCCCCAUCCUCUCCGGCGGACGAUGCACCCCGCUCCACCUCGCCUCGCUCCCCACAGAUCCUUCUCGACCCCGUCCUCCUGCGCGACCGAAGCCGAGCGGCCGCAGAUCCGGCGCCGGCGUCCCCUCCCCUCCCAUCGAUGACCCAUCCUGCGCCUCCACCCCGCUCGCCCUCCCCGUCCCCGCCCCCCUGCGCGCCCGUCACGGACGGGCUGCGGCUGGUCCGGUGGAUCCAGCGACGGACCCCUCCUAGCCUCCUCGCCUCUGCCACUGCUGGUCCCUGCCGGGAAGAUCCUCCUCUCUGGUGCCCCCACCCUCUGUCCACCUCCGACGCCGCCGGUUCCUGCCGCUAAGGACCUCCACUCGGUAGUGCCCCCACCCCCAUGUUGUGGUACAGCGGCCCCCGCUACUCCACUACCCCACCUCGUCUCCACCCUCCUCACCGGCGGCCUGCUCCACUCGUCCUUCCUCGGUUCACCAUCCGCCUCACAUGUCCGUCUCGAUCCUGUCCUCUGUCGCCCUUCGACUCCACUUGGAUGGCGGCCCACCAUUGAGGGAUGUGCUAUGGGAGAAAUCCCUGCUGACCUUGUCAGCUGACCACGGCGGCGCUACUCCAGCGUCGCUUACCCUCUUGGGGGCGUGGCUCAUGUGCCACUCCUGUCUCUCGGUCCGGAUUCGCAGCUCUCGGCUCUGCCCUCUGGGAAUUUAACCGGUUAUGCUCCAGGCGAAAGCUCUGUGACGACGUCAUCCUCGAAUGUCGUCCACCUUCUUGAAGGCGUCACUAGGGAGCUCCUUGCCGCCAUUCAUCCUCCGUUGCCCUGGUCAUCCUCUGCUCUGCUAGCUCAAGACCCUCUCAUGUCUGUCGUCCGUUUUGGUGAGCUUCGUGCUAUCUCGGUUCAUCUCUGCUCAACAACAACGCAAUGAUGCCUUCCCACCUUGCUAAUCGUGUCGGCUUGCUGUGGCGGAGUUUCCAGUUAAGGUUCGUGAUGGGUCACUCGUUGAUUGGUGCUGCUCCUCUGUUGAUGGGUACACACACCGGUGUGGUGCGUUAGGAUAGUUGUUUAGUGUUGGUAUUGUGAUUCCUCGACGACACACCACUUCCACUCGACUUUUAUGGUGGUGGUCUCUUGGCUUGCUGGCUAGGUAGUGCCUUCUUCGGGGCGUCCAUAUGUUCUCACCCUAUGUAAUCUUUCCCUCCUGUGCGGUUUUUCAGCCCGCUUUCCCUUAUAAAUGAGGUCAACCUGUUAAGGUUUUCGAUCCGGUUUUCCUUAUAAACUGCAUCAAACACUUGGCAUUUUGGCCACUUUGAGCAAUAUAUUCAAGUGGGGACUCUCUCCCCCCGGUGACCGUUCAAAAAAAAUUCUAUGUCUUGAAACCAAAUAAGAACCAUACCAAAAAUAUUUAUGAAUUAGUACAACUAAUUGGACUACUUUUGUAUGAGACUGUAAUCAAGAAUGACGAUGGUAGGUGAUCUCAUAUUAUAUUAUAUUCGACUAAUAAAAUAAACAACAUGAACCCUCUCCUGGAGCGGGGGAUGGAAAGACACACGGCCUAGAGGAACUAUAUAAACAACAUGAACCCUCUCCUGCAUCCAUAGCUCUCGUGGCCGCCAUCUCUCACUGCAGUAAUCUCGCUCAUCCUCUUUUCUUUUUUUGGUAGCUGCCCACAGCCACAACACAAUAAAAACUAUCCUUGGGCUAAUGAAAAUAUAAGUGAAUACUGAAUCUUCUCAAUAGUAGAAGAGAGUUCAGUUAUCACCUCAGCUCACCUAGGAAGCAAUAACUUCCAUUUCCAAAAGAAAAAUGACCAGGAAAUGUAAGCCGCUAUUGGUUAGGUACAUGCAAAUGAUUAAUUAUUCAAGACUACUUUGGAAACAAUGCUCUGAGCAAUUAACAGUAAUAAACAGAGAACAAAAAGGAGCAAAACAAAGACAGGUUUUUUAGCUAAAAAAAGGAACCACCAAAUGCAGCGAUAGCAUGUGUGCAUUUUUCUCCAAAUUGCACAUGAGCUUUGACUAUAGGGAAGAGACAAAACUUCCCACGAACAAACGAAUGUCCACAAUAGCUGCAAGUUGCAUCUACUAUCAAAGGAACACUUCGCAUAUCUCAAAUAAAUAGUUAUGAUAACCGUGAUCUCAGGAAGAGUAGGAAGAUGCAUCUUAUACUCUAGAGUUCAGAUAUAUCAAAAAUUCAUUUCAUCAGACCUCUUUGGAGUUAAACUGUUAAAGGGCACUGUUAAACUAAACAGUCGUUCUUAUCCUGUAACAUGCUACUACUUGCACCCCUCUUACUCCUGACACUAUGAACUCCAGUUCAUGUGGCGUACUUUAUGCAUAUACAAACGAUGUAUAAAGCCUGAACAUGGCAAAAACAAUCAAGGGAUUUCCUGAAUAUAUGAUGCUGCAGUAAACCUAUUUUUCUAACUGAAAUUAAACCUACCACUUCCUGCUCACGGAUUUUAGUUCAUUUAUAAACUCUGCAUUCUACUCAUACAAGCAUACCACAUCUAAUAUUCUGCUAUAACCCAGAUUAUUGUUACCUUUCUAAACGCAUAAUUAUUAUCAGUUUAUAAUGGAAAUAAAGUACCCUAAUGCAUCCCCUAUUAAGUGACAUUACGAACUGCAGUGUAUGUGUGUACUUCUAUGCUUAUACACAUGCUAUGAAGCAUGGAACCUGACAAGAUAAAUGCAAAGGAUGCCCAACAGAACUCUUGCUCCAUGACCUUAUUUCUAUUGUGGUUGCAGACUUGGGAGUCCCACUUUGCUGAACCUUUUGUACAUGCUGAUAAAGAAAGAGACAUCAUAACAAUUUAACAAAUAAUCUGUGCAAACACUACCUGGGCACUAUGCAAAGAGACAAAACAAAAAAACAUUAACCAAUUGCCUAGGUGUGCCAACUUGCAGUGUUAUCCUGCAUAUGUCAAUCUCUCUUCUUCUUUUUUGAGAAAGCAUAUGAUAAUCUCAUGUGUUCUAAUUUAGCCAAUACAUGCUAUGUGUGUCAACUUGUAGUGUUAUCCUGCAUAUGCCAAUCUCAUACUACGUUCUAAUUUAGCCAAUACAUGCCAAAGCAUUUCAGUCUCACUUGUUUUAGUUUUGCAUAAAGCAGGCAACUAACACAAUAUUGGCCACCGUCUCUCUCGCUGUAGUAGUCUCGCUUAUCGUCUUCUCUUUUUUCGACAGCUGUCCAUAGCCACAACAACACAAAGAAAACUAUCCUUGAGCUUAUGUGAAUAUAAGCGAAUACUGAAUCUGUUCUACAGUAUAACCUCAGCUGACCUGGGAAGCAACAACAACUCCCAUUUCCAAAAGAAAGAUGACAGGAAACUGAAGCCACUAAUGGUUAGAUAAAUACCUGCAAAUGAUUAAUUGUUCAAGACUACUUUGAGAACAAUCACUCUGAGCAAUUAACAAUAAUAAAAGUCACCAACUUAAUUCUCUAGAAGAAGAACAAACCCGUGCAUACACAUAUCAAUGAGCAAAGAAUGUUCAGCCAUGGCGUAGAUACACGCAGAAAGAAACAAAACCAAGAUAAGAAUAUGAAGGUAAAGAGACCGCAAUGUCACCGUUUGUCACAUGUGUCCUACGAACAAACAAACAGAACUACAGUGGCUAGCACCCUGUAAAAAGAAAAUUCGCAUCAAACCUAGAUGUAAGCACAUGUGACACACACGCACACAAGAAGACAUGAGGAUUAAGGAAUGGAAAAACCACCAGUUGUAAACCCAGGCAUCAACUUGCAGCACGAUCAACACCUGCAAAUAACAAACCGGAGCACCGGAGCAGGCGUCUUAGACAAAUCAUAAAGAAAAGAAAAAAUGAAAAAAAGAAUCAGGGGAAUAAGCAGAGCAACAUGGGACAAAAAGGGGCCACGUACAAAUCGGACGGUCGAAGAGAAUACUGCUUACUUUUCCUGAAACAUCGUUUUUAGGGAACCUCUGUUAGGCAAGCUGCAACCCCUCAAACCACACAUAACUCACCGUCAGAGAACUUAACUUUUAAUCUUCCUGUAAAGGGGAAAACUUACUAUGUCAGUCUCAUACAUAUAGUGACAACAUGUGAACCCCGACAAAAAAUUGCUGUGACAACAUGUAUGCAUUAUUCUCCAAAUGUACAGAUAGGAAAAGGCGGAGUUCAACAGUGCCUUAAUAGCAUUCAUGGACAUCACAGUUCAUUGGUCAGUGCAAAAACUGUACAGAGAACAAAAAGGAACAAAACAAAGCCAGGUUUUUACACCUAAAUGGAAUUGUCAAAUGCAGAAAUAACAUGUGUGCAUUUUUCUCCAAAUGUACAGAAAGGAAAAAGGCAGAAGGAAUGGACAUUACGCAUUGCAGUGACACACUACCAAAGCUCAUGGCAUGAGCUGAGACAAUCUAGCAGAGCUCAUUCACAACUAUGUUGGUUUGCACACGUCCAAGAUUAGGCAUACUGCAAAUCCAUCAGUGAGAGCCUGCAACAGAGCGAUGAAUCAAACAACACUGCAAGUGAGAUAUAUGUUUUCCUUGGAUUUCCAUGUGUAGCAACUACAUCAUUUAAAAAUGUUUAUCAUGAAUUCAAGAUCUGUAGGACAUGAAACGCAGCAGGAUCAGCUCAUAGACCUUUCAUCGAACAGGAGGCGAGCAAGGUAACUAAUAAAGAUCUCACCUUGCCGGAGCCCAUGGGUAGGAACCUCGCUUGCCCUUCAUCACCGAGCCCAAUUCCGGGCAUGACGAUCUUCACCUUGCCGUUGCCCCUGUACCGGGGCGGGA